GGAUCACCACUAUUCACAUUCUGGAUAGUGAAGGAAGGGGAUGAAAUAAUGCUCCUGCUAUGAAAACAGUGUGCCACACUGCUUGUGUAGGCCAUGAGUCAUGGUUUCCUUGAUGGUCACUGGGGGAAGGGAUUCAUAAUGAAUGGCAGCACUGCCCCUCCCACCAUCUCUUGUUGUGACUAAGAACAUGGCAUUGCUCAUCCAGAGACGCAGGUGACAAGAGUGAGGAGAGUUUGCGCAUGUUAUUGUGUGCAAUGGUACGUACACCAAUGGGCAGAAUGGCAGAGGAGCUUUGUAUGACAUAUUUCUCUAUGAGUAGAUAAAGCCAGUGAGCUGUGAAGCUACAUAACCUUUUGCUGGUAGCUGUUUUGAUGAAUGCUAAUACUUUCACGGAUAAUAUUCUGUAUGGUUUGGAGAGAUGAUUUGUGAGUGCAUUUUGGAAAGCACAGUGACGCACCUUGCUCUCUUUGUGAGGCACGCUCUCACUUUGUGAAGGAUCUAAGUCAUAGGGAAUUCUUGUCAGUUAUAUUCCUGGUUCAGAAUUUUGUGGGAAGAAGACCCAGCACAGUUGUGCAGGGAACAAAGGUCAGACAGAUGGGAAGUGAAUGCUGCAGAAGCAUGUGAGUGCGGAGCAAAGCUAUCUCUUCAGGCUGCUGACCUCCUACAGUCUGGGCUGCAGCAGCAGAAGGCAGUGGCAAGCUAAGGAGGGAUGCCCCCAGCCUCAGCAAUAAUCAGCUUUCAAUGAGAAAGCUUUGAUGGUCUACACGAGUCUGGCACUGUUGAGCAUGGCAGGAGUCACUAUACACAAAAGCACGAACCAAACUGCUCCCUAGGGAUGUACAAUAGUAUUGACCCUGUGGGAGAAUGCUGUGCUGAAAGCCCAAGAAAGCCUUUUAAGCAUGGGAUGCUGGGUCGGCUCUAGGACCUGGAAAUCAAUCUUCUCUACAGUGAUGCUUCCCACCAGCCCUGAAGAACAACAGCUGCCUCAAAAAGAAGAAGACACUUGGCAGCAGGCAGCAGAAGCUGAUGCAGGAAAGCCAGGACAGGAAACAGUACUGAGACUUUCAAAUUGGUGCAUCCCACCAACAUAGGUUCAAUUCAUCCCCACUGUUGUUACACUCCAGGACUAAAAUGAACAGAAAAAGAAAGCUAUGGUUCUGUGACUUACUUUUAUCCUUGGAUAAGACAGUGGUUACACUUCAUCAGCAUGGGAAACAGAAGUGGUGUGUUUUAAAAUUGUAAGGCCUAUCUCGGAAAGAGAUGACCUUGCACAUUUGUUCUGGGGAUAUCCUACAUCUGCAUUGCUCCGUCCUCUUUGUCUUUGUGUUAAUUUUUCUAUUUUAUUGUCUAAAUGGAAAAAGAUAAAUAUGGCAAUUUGGCUAAGAUUUCCAGGCUUCUGGCCUGGUUAAUAUAACAUGGAUAAAUAGCCAUAUGCAGGCCUUCCCUUUUAUUGCACAGAUGGUAUGUGCUUGCACAAUAACUCAAUUGUAUCUCAGAUACCUCUCAGUGUGUCAGAUUCAGUGUGGUGUGUCACACUGUGCAUGCUCACACACUCCUGACUGUGAAAUACUAGAUAGAAAUACAGCAACCUCAAUAACUUCCUACGUGUGAGAAUUUUGCAUAAACAAAGCACAUGUUUUUGUAGUGAGGCAAAGGACAGAAUGUCUCUCCAUAAAUAUGGUAAUUUUGUGCGCUCUGCAGUGCAUCCAAAACCAUUAUAAGCAGUAUGGCAGGCCAUACUCCUGUCUCACUUCUUGUGUUAGUGUGACUCGUGGUGAUAAAGGAAUUAAAGAUAGGACCAAUGCAAAGAUUGUUACACAAAGGAAGUAACUGCUUUGUGCAGGACGUGUAAUGUGCCUGAUGUAAGAUUAGUAUGCACUCACUCUCCUUUCUGAGGUUCACGACUAGGAAAUAUUAUUUUGUGUUUCACUGACAAAAUCUUUUGCUGAUAACUCUGUUCCCUAAGACUGUAGGAUAAGUCAAGUUGGAAGUAGCCUCAUGUCUCUUGUCCUACCUCCUUCUCAGGGAGGCUACCUGUAAUUAAGACCAAGGUUACUUUGGAGUUUAUCCAGUUAGGUCUUGAAAAAAGCUCCAAGGAUGGGGACUGCUCUGUCUCUCUGCUAAGCAGUUUUUCUGUCUGACACAUGGAAAUGUUUUUCCUUAUAUUCACCCUGAACAUAUCUUGUCUCAGUUUAUGCCCAUUGUCUGUCAUCCUCUCACCAUGCACUCAGUGAAGAUCCUGGAGCCACCUCCUUGUGGCUUUGAUGCAUCUAACUAGGAGGGUGCUAGUUAGAUGCAUCAAAAGCUGUUUCUUCUCCAGGCUGAACCAUCAUAAUUUCCUCUACUCUCUCGCUACCAGACAAGUGCUCCAAAGCCUAGAACAUCUUGGUAGCUCUUUAUUGACUAUGCUCCUACAUGAUAGUGGAUUUCUUGCAUUGGGGACUCCAAAUCUAUACACAGUAUUUUAGAUGUUGUUUAACAAAUACUGAGUAAAGGGAGAUUAUCACUUUCCUGGCUGUGCUUCUGCUGAAACAGCCCGGGAUGCUGUUGGCUUUCCCUACAGCCAGACAGAUUACUGGCUAAUCCUGACUGGCCCCAUGAUUUCCAGGUCCUUCCCAGCCUAUAUAAUUGCCAGGGUUAUUCUUUCUCAGGUUCAGGACUUCCCUUUUUCCCUUGCUAAAUUUCACAAAGUUAUGGUUCACCUGCUCCUCCAGCCUAGCUAAGUCAGUCUGUUUGGCAGCCCUGCCCUGAAGUGCAUCA